rnacentral:lncRNA from 1 species
AUGAAUUUUAAGGCCCCCACACAAAAGACAAGUUCAAGUAUGCAGGUAUGAAAAGAGGUUAACAUUCCAAAAAUACAUUCAAAGCCUAUGUCGGGAGUCAUGGCUAUAUCCCCCAGGUGAUCCUCGGUUCCUAUGGGGUUUGUAAGUGUCCUGGUAUGAGUCAGGGUAAUCUUCUUCCACAAGAGGGUAAUGAUCUCGGCUAUGCUGAGAACUGGAAGACAAGCGGUUCCUACUCUUCCGAGCCCUUUCAUUGUGAUAAUUUUCAUCAGAGGUCAUUAGACUUCGUCUUUCAAUUGGAGAGUUCUCUGUGGAGUGGUUGCUGUGCCUCAUUCGCUGACUCUAAAAAUAUCAGAUAGUUCAUUGAUUAAAUAAUGUCAGCUUCAUUCAUCUAAACAUGU